GAUGUUCCGAUGUUGCUUCUGGCGAGUCGUGGUUAACUUCCGAUGGUUAUGUUGUUGGUUGGUGUGUGUUGUUGUUAUGAGUGUUGUAUGGAGCAACUGUCUGUUUUCGAAGGAGUUUGAUUGAUAUAGUUGUUUCACAUUUUUUAUGGUUUGUUGUAUGUGGUGUUUUAAAAAUGAAACAAGUAUGGAAGAUGGAGAUAAUAUGGGGAGUUGGUGUUGUGUAAUGUUGAAGGGUGGUUUUUGAAGAAAGCAAGUGAUAAGUUAAGGUUGUGUAGUGUGAGUUAAGAGUAUGAGGAAUAUAUGAAUAAUAUGAAGAAGAGUUAUGGAUUUGAAGAUAAACAUAAGGUAAAUUGGAAGAGUUUGUGGGAUAGUGUUAUUAAAAUGUG
rnacentral:lncRNA from 1 species